rnacentral:rRNA from 1 species
GAUGAACGCUGGCGGCGUGCCUAAUACAUGCAAGUCGAGCGAACAGACGAGGAGCUUGCUCCUCUGACGUUAGCGGCGGACGGGUGAGUAACACGUGGAUAACCUACCUAUAAGACUGGGAUAACUUCGGGAAACCGGAGCUAAUACCGGAUAAUAUAUUGAACCGCAUGGUUCAAUAGUGAAAGACGGUUUUGCUGUCACUUAUAGAUGGAUCCGCGCCGCAUUAGCUAGUUGGUAAGGUAACGGCUUACCAAGGCAACGAUGCGUAGCCGACCUGAGAGGGUGAUCAGCCACACUGGAACUGAGACACGGUCCAGACUCCUACGGGAGGCAGCAGUAGGGAAUCUUCCGCAAUGGGCGAAAGCUUGACGGAGCAACGCCGCGUGAGUGAUGAAGGUCUUCGGAUCGUAAAGCUCUGUUAUUAGGGAAGAACAAAUGUGUAAGUAACUAUGCACGUCUUGACGGUACCUACUCAGAAAGCCACGGCUAACUACGUG